CAUUUAAAAAAAAAAUAAGUCGGCUCCUCUGGCUCCACCUACAGCCUGGAGCGGGAUUUCCAAAAAUCCACCGCUUCCUGUUCAGAUGCACCAAUCACAGCUAGGGGGGGUGUCUCACUGCGUGUCAAUCACUGCUCAUGCACAAGC